GAAUCUGGCUCUAGGUCUGGGACAACCACUGGAAACGGUGGCUAAUACCGGAUGUGCCGAGAGGUGAAAGGUUAACUGCCUAGAGAUGAGCUCGCGUCUGAUUAGCUAGUUGGAAGUGUAAUGGACUCCCAAGGCGACGAUCAGUAGCUGGUCUGAGAGGACGAUCAGCCACACUGGGACUGAGACACGGCCCAGACUCCUACGGGAGGCAGCAGUGGGGAAUUUUCCGCAAUGGGCGAAAGCCUGACGGAGCAAUACCGCGUGAGGGAGGAAGGCUCUUGGGUCGUAAACCUCUUUUCUCAGGGAAGAACACAAUGACGGUACCUGAGGAAUAAGCAUCGGCUAACUCCGUGCCAGCAGCCGCGGUAAUACGGAGGAUGCAAGCGUUAUCCGGAAUGAUUGGGCGUAAAGCGUCCGCAGGUGGCAAUGUAAGUCUGCUGUUAAAGAGUCUAGCUCAACUAGAUACAAGCAGUGGAAACUACAUAGCUAGAGUACGUUCGGGGCAGAGGGAAUUCCUGGUGUAGCGGUGAAAUGCGUAGAGAUCAGGAAGAACACCGGUGGCGAAGGCGCUCUGCUAGGCCGUAACU
rnacentral:rRNA from 1 species